ACUGUCUCAACAACAGACUCGGUGAAAUUGUAAUUCCGGUGAAGAUGCCGGAUACCUGCGACAGGACGGAAAGACCCCAUGGAGCUUUACUGUAGCUUGACAUUGGGUCUUGGUACUACAUGUACAGGAUAGGUGGGAGGCUUUGAAACCAGGACGCCAGUUUUGGCGGAGCCAUCCUUGGGAUACCACCCUUGUAGUACUGGGACUCUAACCAUAGGCCAUGAAUCUGGUCUUGGGACACUGUCAGGUGGGCAGUUUGACUGGGGCGGUCGCCUCCCAAAAGGUAACGGAGGCGCUCAAAGGUUCUCUCAGUACGGUCGGAAAUCGUACGUAGAGUGUAAAGGCAAAAGAGAGCUUGAUUGCAAGACAUACAGGUCGAGCAAGGAUGAAAAUCGGACUUAGUGAUCCGGUGGUUCUGCGUGGAAGGGCCAUCGCUCAACGGAUAAAAGCUACCCUGGGGAUAACAGGCUUAUCUCCCCCAAGAGUCCACAUCGACGGGGAGGUUUGGCACCUCGAUGUCGGCUCAUCACAUCCUGGGGCUGUAGUAGGUCCCAAGGGUUGGGCUGUUCGCCCAUUAAAGUGGUACGCGAGCUGGGUUCAGAACGUCGUGAGACAGUUCGGUCCCUAUCCGUCGCAGGCGUAGGAAAUUUGAGAAGACCUGUCCUUAGUACGAGAGGACCGGGAUGGAC
rnacentral:rRNA from 1 species